rnacentral:rRNA from 1 species
AGCACCACAACGGGUGGAGCUUGCGGUUUUAAUUGGAUUCAACGCCGGAAAUCUUACCGGGACCGACAGCAUAUGAAGGCCAGGCUGAAGACUUUGCCGGAUUAGCUGAGAGGUGGUGCAUGGCCGUCGUCAGUUCGUACUGUGAAGCAUCCUGUUAAGUCAGGCAACGAGCGAGACCCACGCCCACAGUUGCCAGCGUACUCUCCGGAGUGACGGGUACACUGUGGGGACCGCCGCUGCUAAAGCGGAGGAAGGAAUGGGCAACGGUAGGUCAGUAUGCCCCGAAUAUCCCGGGCUACACGCGAGCUACAAUGGUUGGUACAAUGGGUAUCUACCCCGAAAGGGGACGGGAAUCUCCUAAAACCAAUCUUAGUUCGGAUUGAGGGCUGCAACUCGCCCUCAUGAAGCUGGAAUCCGUAGUAAUCGCGUUUCAACAGAACGCGGUGAAUACGUCCCUGCUCCUU